rnacentral:tRNA from 1 species
CCUUGCGUAGCUCAAUAUGGUAGAGCAGUCGAUUAAACAUCAAUUGGUUGUGGGUUCGAUUCCCUCCGCAAGUU